AUUGAACGCUGGCGGCAGGCCUAACACAUGCAAGUCGAGCGGCAGCGGGAAAGUAGCUUGCUACUUUUGCCGGCGAGCGGCGGACGGGUGAGUAAUGCCUGGGAAAUUGCCCAGUCGAGGGGGAUAACAGUUGGAAACGACUGCUAAUACCGCAUACGCCCUACGGGGGAAAGCAGGGGACCUUCGGGCCUUGCGCGAUUGGAUAUGCCCAGGUGGGAUUAGCUAGUUGGUGAGGUAAUGGCUCACCAAGGCGACGAUCCCUAGCUGGUCUGAGAGGAUGCUCAGGCACACUGGAACUGAGACACGGUCCAGACUCCUACGGGAGGCAGCAGUGGGAAAUAUUGCACAAUGGGGGAAACCCUGAUGCAGCCAUGCCGCGUGUGUGAAGAAGGCCUUCGGGUUGUAAAGCACUUUCAGCGAGGAGGAAAGGUUGAUGCCUAAUACGUAUCAACUGUGACGUUACUCGCAGAAGAAGCACCGGCUAACUCCGUGCCAGCCGCCGCCGUAACAC
rnacentral:rRNA from 1 species